AGUUUGGAGACAUCUGGGUGGGGUUUGGAGACAUCUCAGAGGGGUUUGGGGACAUCUCAGGUUCCUGGUGGUCUCCAUGGGUUCCUGGUGGGAUUUUUGGGGUUCCUGGAGAUGUUUCGGGUUCCCGAUGAUCUCCAUGGGUUCCUGGUGGGAUUUUUGGGGUUUCUGGAGAUGUAUUUUGAGUUCUUGAUGGUCUCCAUGGGGUUCCUGAUGGUCUCCAUGGGGUUUUGGAGUUGGUUUUGGGUUCCUGGUGGUCUCCAUGGGUUCCUGGUGGGAUUUUUGAGAUUUCUGGAGAUGUUUUGGGUUCCUGAUGAUCUCCGUGGAGUUCCUGGAGAUGUUUUGGGUUCCUGGUGGUUUCCAUGGGUUCCCAGGAGGAGUUUUGGGAUUCCUGGUGGUCUCCAUGGGGUUCCUGGUGGUCACCGUGGGGUUCCUGAUGAUCUCCAUGGGUUCCUGAUGGGAUUUUUGGAGAUUCUGGAGAUGUUUCGGGUUCCUGGUGGUCUCCACGGGUUCCUGGUGUUCUCCAUGGAUUCCCAGGAGGAGUUUUGGGUUCCUGGUGAUCUCCAUGGGUUCCUGGUGGGAUUUUUGGGGUUCCUGGAGAUGUUUUGGGUUCCUGGUGGUCUCCAUGGGGUUCCUGGUGGGAUUUUUGGGGUUCCUGAAGAUGUUUUUUGGGUUCCUGGUGGUCACCAUGGGGUUCCUGGUGGGAUUUUUGGGGUUUCUGGAGAUGUAUUUUGAGUUCUUGAUGAUCUCCAUGGGGUUCUUGGUGGUCUCCAUGAGGUUUUGGGUUCCUGGUGGUCACCAUGGGUUCCUGGUGGCAUUUUUGGAGAUUCUGGAGAUGUUUUGGGUUCCUGGUGGUCUCCAUGGGGUUUCUGGAGAUGCUUUUUGGGUUCCUGGUGGUCACCAUGGGGUUCCUGGUGAUCUCAAUGGGAUUUUGGAGUUGGUUUUGGGUUCCUGGUGGUCUCCAUGGGUUCCUGGUGGGAUUUUUGGAGAUCCUGGAGAUGUUUUGGGUUCCUGGUGAUCUCCAUGGAUUCCUGGUGGGAUUUUUGGAGAUCCUGGAGAUGUUUUGGGUUCCUGGUGGUCACCAUAGGGUUCCUGGUGGUCUCCAUGGGUUCCCGGUGGUCUCUGUGGGGUUCCUGGAGCUGUUUUGGGUUCCUGGUGUUCCCCUCGGGUUCCCGGUGUCAUUUCUGCCCCCAUGGCCAUCUCCAACCCUGGUUUCUGGGUGGUGUGUCCUCUCCAGCGGCCUUCAUCCGCGUGGUGGGCUCGGAGUUCGUGCAGAAGUACCUGGGCGAGGGCCCGCGCAUGGUGCGCGACGUUUUCCGCCUGGCCAAGGAGAACGCGCCGGCCAUCAUCUUCAUCGACGAGAUCGACGCCAUCGCCACCAAGCGCUUCGACGCCCAGACCGGCGCCGACCGCGAGGUCCAACGGAUCCUCCUGGAGCUCCUGAACCAGAUGGACGGCUUCGACCAGAACGUCAACGUCAAGGAGAUCAUGGCCACCAACCGUGAGGACACCUGGACGAGGAACUAUUGGGGUUUUUUGAGGUUUUAUGGAGUCUGUAUGGAUCUUUAUGAGGUUCUGUGAGGUUUUGGAGAUCUCAGGUGUCCUCACUUGUUCCCAGGAGAUGAUGGCCACCAACCGUGAGGACACCUGGACCAGGAACUAUGGGGGAUUUUUGGGGUUUUAUGAGGUUUUAUGGAGUCUGUGUGGGAUUUUAUGGAUUUUUAUGGAGUUUUGAGGAUCUCAGGUGUCCUCACCUGUCUCCAGGAGAUGAUGGCCACCAACCAUGAGGACACCUGGACCAGCAAUUUCAGGGUUUUAUGAGGUUUUAUGGAGUCUGUGUGGAUCUUUAUGAGGUUCUAUGGGAUUUUGGAGAUCUCAGGUGUCCUCACCUGUCACGUGCUCGCAGGAGAUCAUGGCCACCAACCCUGAGGACACCUGAGCCAGCAAUUUCAGGGUUUUAUGAGGUUUUAUGGAGUCUGUAUGGAUCUUUAUGAGGUUCUAUGGGAUUUUGGAGAUCUCAGGUGUCCUCACUUGUUCCCAGGAGAUGGUGGCCACCAACCAGGAGAACACGUGGACUAUAAAGUAUUGGGGUUUUUUGAGGUUUUAUGGAGUCUGUGUGGAUCUUUAUGAGGUUCUAUGGGGUUUUGAUGAUCUCAGGUGUCCCCUGUCUUCAGGAGAUCAUGGCCACCAACCAGGAGGACACCUGGACCAUGAACUAUGGGGGUUUUGUUGGGUUUUUUGAGGUUUUAUGGAGUCUGUGUGGAUCUUUAUGAGGUUCUAUGGGAUUUUGGAGAUCUCAGGUGUCCUCACUUGUUCCCAGGAGAUGAUGGCCACCAACCAUGGGCACACCUGGACCAGCAAUUUCAGGGUUUUAUGAGGUUUUAUGGAGUCUGNGGACACCUGGGUGGGGUGGGGGAGCUCCUGGGUGGACCUCUGGUGGUCCUGGGUGGAGUUUGGGUGGUCCUGGGUGGAGUUUGGGUGGUUUUGGGUGGGUUUUUGGGGUGA
ensembl:lncRNA